rnacentral:rRNA from 1 species
GGAGUUAGCCGGUGCUUCUUCUGUGAGUGAUGUCCUUCCUGCCGGCUAUUAACCCGCAGGCCUUCUUCCUCACUGAAAGUGCUUUACAACCCGAAGGCCUUCUUCACACACGCGGCAUGGCUGGAUCAGGGUUGCCCCCGAUUGUCCAAUAUUCCCCACUGCUGCCUCCCGUAGGAGUCUGGGCCGUGUCUCAGUCCCAGUGUGGCUGAUCAUCCUCUCAGACCAGCUACGGAUCGUCGCCUUGGUGAGCCGUUACCUCACCAACCAGCUAAUCCGACAUAGGCUCAUCCGAUAGCGCGAGGCCCGAAGGUCCCCCGCUUUCCCCCGUAGGGCGUAUGCGGUAUUAGCCUGGGUUUCCCCCAGGUUAUCCCCCGACUACCGGGCAGAUUCCUAUGCAUUACUCACCCGUCCGCCGCUCGCCACCAGGGAGCAAGCUCCCCGUGCUGCCGCUCGACUUGCAUGUGUUAGGCCUGCCGCCAGCGUUCAAUCUGAGCCAGGAUCAAACUCUGA